CCCGCUGAAUUUAAGCAUAUAAGUAAGCGGAGGAUAAGAAACUAAAUAGGAUUCCCUCAGUAAUGGCGAAUGAACAGGGAUAAGCUCAGCAUGGAAAUUGGGGCCCUCGGCCUUGAAUUGUAGUCUUGAGAUGUGUUACCAACGGAGGCGCAGAUGUAAGCCUCUUGGAAAAGAGCGUCAGGGAGGGUGAGAGUCCCGUAUGUCAUCUGCAGUUCUCUGUGCACGGUGCAUGUUCUAAGAGUCACGUUCCUCGGGAUUGGAGCGCAAAUUGGGUGGUAAAUUUCAUCUAAAGCUAAAUAUUGGUUCGAGACCGAUAGCAAACAAGUACCAUGAGGGAAAGGUGAAAAGGACUUUGAAAAGAGAGUUAAAAGUGCCUGAAAUUGCUGAAAGGGAAGCGAAUGGAACCAGUUGUUCUUGGUGAGUAUUGGUGUUGUCUAAAGUGAUGGCUUGCCACUUCAACGCAAGUGUGGUGGCAGGUUUUGAUCUGGAUGCGAUACUGCUUCUCGCCUUGCAUGUCAACGUCAGUUCAUAAUUGAGGAAAACUCUAAGGACAUGGUAAUUCGCUUCCGAGUGACUGAAUGUCCUCAGUUGAACUCAUUUUUGAACUGCUCUCUGUGUGUCUGGUAGCACUGCUUCAUGUGCUUGCCUGCGAUCUUCUGCUCUGCAUGAAGGUUGUUGGUGCCAGGAGCAUGUCCUUGACAUUAGAACGAUGACGAAAUGGUUUUAUUCGACCCGUCUUGAAACACGGACCAAGG
rnacentral:rRNA from 1 species